rnacentral:rRNA from 1 species
GAUGAACGCUGGCGGCGUGCCUAAUACAUGCAAGUCGAGCGAACAGACGAGGAGCUUGCUCCUCUGACGUUAGCGGCGGACGGGUGAGUAACACGUGGAUAACCUACCUAUAAGACUGGGAUAACUUCGGGAAACCGGAGCUAAUACCGGAUAAUAUAUUGAACCGCAUGGUUCAAUAGUGAAAGACGGUUUUGCUGUCACUUAUAGAUGGAUCCGCGCCGCAUUAGCUAGUUGGUAAGGUAACGGCUUACCAAGGCAACGAUGCGUAGCCGACCUGAGAGGGUGAUCGGCCACACUGGAACUGAGACACGGUCCAGACUCCUACGGGAGGCAGCAGUAGGGAAUCUUCCGCAAUGGGCGAAAGCCUGACGGAGCAACACCGCGUGAGUGAUGAAGGUCUUCGGAUCGUAAAACUCUGUUAUUAGGAAAGAACAAAUGUGUAAGUAACUAUGCACGUCUUGACGGUACCUAAUCAGAAAGCCACGGCUAACUACGUG